AAAUUAAGUAUAGACUUACUCAGCCCUUAGUGUUUUUGCCAAUGACAUGGUACUAUUGCACUGUUAAUAACCAAAUUAAGCCGCAGUUGUAUUCACACGUGAUAUAAUAGCUAGUGUCGGCAAGCUGUGGGAAUGCCCAGGAGAUGGCGUUUGUUCAGCUAUCGAAAUCAUUACACCGACGGCGGUGGGCAGCUCUCCUGGAACA